rnacentral:lncRNA from 12 species
GCAGAGAAGGCUGCUACCAGUUCCCUGUCUCCUGCAAGGGGUUUCUUGCUAGAAGUUCUGCUGGGAAACCAAGUGUGCCAAUAUAGUUCAUUUUUUUCAUCCUCUCAGUUACUCUGUCAACUGCACUGAACCCAGAACUUUUUUUUAACUACACUGCAUUCUGAAGGGGUUUAUUGCAGACUGAAGGAAAUGGUAAUAUGCAACAGUGACUCUGGAAUUUAAACAGAAACCCACAAGGGAUCUCCAUGCUGAAGGCCAACUUCCAAAUAUGGGAGAAGAGAAGCAGCCGUAGUAGCCUGGGAAGACAUCCUCAGCACAGCAAGGGACAAAAUAGUUGGAAGUAUAUGAGCGUUUUGGAAUUUCUUCAGAAAGGAGCACCAGAAACUGCGUGGUUUACAGACCAAACAAUGCCCUAGAUUUCCAAUGAUCUGCAGUGUUGCAACAAUGUGAGCUGUGACAAGGUCAAGUUUUUGAAGGGCAACACUCCAGGGUGCAAUUGAUUGUGACUGAGACAAGAAUUCUCAGUUCAAAAUAUUUCUGUGAAGUAAAG